rnacentral:rRNA from 1 species
CGGACGGGUGAGUAACGCGUGGGGAACCUGCCCUGUACCGGGGGAUAGCAGCCGGAAACGGCUGAUAAUACCGCAUAAGCGCACGAAUGUCGCAUGACAUGGUGUGAAAAACUCCGGUGGUAUAGGAUGGACCCGCGUCUGAUUGGCCAGUUGGUGGGGUAAAAGCCUACCAAAGCGAAGAUCAGUAGCCGAGUUGAGAGACUGACCGGCCACAUUGGGACUGAGACACGGCCCAGACUCCUACGGGAGGCAGCAGCA